rnacentral:lncRNA from 1 species
GGAGCUCUUAGGAAGGUUACCCUAAUGUUCGACUAGCCCUUCCUGAGUGCCUGAGGCUGGAGACAGCAGCCACUUCUGCCUCACCAGCUACUCUCCGUUUAUAACCCCUUCACUUGAAGUACCAGAGUUCAGAGGGAAUCAGUUAUGAACCAAGAGGGAAAGCAUGGUUGGAAAGAAAAGCUCAGCGUCUCACGCUCUCAUCAAUUCUUUCAAAAACUGAGUUAAGGGUGCUGCCAAGCCCUUGCCUUUGCUACCUCAGUGUUUCUACUUGUUAAAGGAUGAUGAAGAUGCUAGUAACUCUGGGAACAAACAUGGAAUGCAUAUCAACCGGCCACUAAAUAAAACAGAUUUCAGAUGCGAAUAGAAACAAAAAAGCUGGGGAAGUACGAAGAGUUUUAAGGAUAAAAAAAAACCUAAAAAGAUAAUCCUUUUAAGAAGCUGAUUUUUUUUCUUAGUCAUUCCAGAAGUAAGAGGGACAGGGUAAUACCGCCAAUGCUUAACUCCAAAAUAGAUAAAAGAUUUUUUUAAAAAGAGAGAGGCUGCUCUAUUGAGGAAAAAAGCCCUGAAAUAACCUAUCACUGGUGUUCAGAAGUCACAAGGUCAUCAUUCAUCUUUAUAAAAGGAGACACUGAACAAAGAUGAAUAAGGUUAUGGUCGAAGAAGAAGGCAAUGGAGAAGGCGAUGGCACCCCAUUCCAGUACUCUUGCCUGGAAAAUCCCAUGAACCGAGGAGCCUGGUGGGCUGCAGUCCAUGGGGUCUCGAAGAGUUGGACACGACUGAAGCAACUUAGCAGCAGCAGCAGCAGCAGCUUAUAGUAAUGCUCAACUAAAGUGAGAAGAAAGCUCUGGCAAAAAAACUUUCUUCCUCUUUCUCCUCAACAUCAGUCUCAACAGUCUUUGGGUAACUGAGACUCAUGUUUCAAAGAGCAUGGGGCCGAUCUUAGAUUGGUUGUGAUUCUUCUCAUUAUCACAGACAGUAAUUGUGCCUCUCCUUUGAAAUAAUUCAUGCCCAGGCCUGAUGAGUUUGCCCUCUUUACAUAUUCAUAGCUUUUUGUUGAUUUAUUGUAUGUAGCUGUAUCUUUUCCAGUUUAAAAAGAUCAUUUUCAGAAAGAUAAGCAGUGGUUUCUUAAUGAUGAUAUUUGAUUAACCCCAAUAAAUGAUUCAGCAAAGUGUUGGCUUUUAAAGAU